rnacentral:rRNA from 1 species
UACCGAGGUGCCAAGCGUUAGGCGGAAUCACUGGGCUUAAAGCGCGUGUAGGCGGGUCGUUAAGUGUCCGCGUGAAAUCCCACGGCUCAACCGUGGAACUGCCGGGCAUACUGGCGAUCUUGAGGCAUUCAGGGGCGAGCGGAACAAAUGGUGGAGCGGUGAAAUGCGUAGAUAUCGCUUGGAACGCCAAAGGUGAAAACAGACAGCUGGGAGUGUGCUGACGCUGAGACACGAAAGCCAGGGGAGCGAACGGG